CCGGGGCUGCUCCCCGGCCAUGGCCCCGGUCACCCCGCGCCCGAAGCGUGGAUUUUCCUCCCAGGGCUGGCCAUCUUGCUGUUGGAGUUCAGUGGGGGUUUUUUAACCAAGGACACCGAGCACUGUUUGCCCUCCGACUCGAAAGGCUCGGAGCUGCUCCCCGAGGCAGCAGGAUGGAGCAGCUCAGUCAGAGAAUCACAGAAUUGUUGGGGUUGGAAGGGACCUCUGCAGAUCAUCCCGUCCAACCUUCCUGCCAUGGCAGGGUCACCUGGAGCAGGUGACACAGGAACGUGUCCAGCGAUAUGGAAAUCCAUCAGAACCUCGUGGCCUCAGUGACACUGCAGACACAGUCUGUGGGCUGACAUCCUGGGACAUACCCUGGCAGCCAGAUUGCCUUCUCAGAGUUACAUCAGUUUUGCAGCAUUAAAAGGAACAAACUUCUUUUUCUCCAGUGACAAGGAAA